CCUACGGGUGGCAGCAGUGGGGAAUAUUGCACAAUGGGGGAAACCCUGAUGCAGCGACGCCGCGUGAGUGAAGAAGUAUUUCGGUAUGUAAAGCUCUAUCAGCAGGGAAGCAAAUGACGGUACCUGAUUAAGAAGCCCCGGCUAACGACGUGCCAGCAGCCGCGGGAAGACGUAGGGAGCAAGCGUUAUCCGGAUUUACUGGGUGUAAAGGGAGCGUAGACGGCAGGACAAGUCUGGAGUGAAAAGCCGGGGCUUAACCCCGGAACUGCCUUUGAAACUGUGCAGCUAGAGUGCAGGAGAGGUAAGUGGAAUGCGUGGUGUAGCGGUGAAAUGCGUAGAUAUUAGGAGGAACACCAGUGGCGAAGGCGGCUUACUGGACUGUAACUGACGUUGAGGCUCGAAAGCGUGGGGAGCGAACAGGAUUAGAUACCCUAGUAGUC
rnacentral:rRNA from 1 species